UUUUGCACAGCAAAGGCAUCGCUAGACGUUCCGGGCUGCGAAACGCUGUGAAAACUUCAGCGCGUCGGUUAAUCACUGAGACCUCUAAAGUCCAGCUUACUUUUGGCGGAUAUAUAAAUGCAUGCAAGAAUGAACUGAAAACCCAUUUUCAACUACAUUUCAUUGAACAAUUAAACUGUUUCCAUCACCCAUUGCCUUUCUUAAUGAUUUAUUUUUAACAGUUUUAUUGUCAAGAAUCCGAGGGUUAUACCGGAAGUUAAUCCCGAGUUAAAUUUGAGCAACUUUACUAAAAAGUGAAAAACGUGUGGAUACCAGGAAGAGCUGCACAACCUUGAAUGAAGGACCGAAAGAGCCGCUAUUAGAGAUGGACUUCGCCUUGGAUUAAAAUGAGGAGUUAAAAACGAGAUCAUGGUUUCCCCUGAACCGCUUUGCUAUUAAUAGACAGCUGUGAGAGAUUUCCCUGGCAAGACGUGUGGAAAAUGGCAGAUGCAGGUGCCACCUUACUGUCAGUGAUGGUGCUGCUGGCAGUGCUGCCCCGAGCUCGCCCGUGUCCACGCCCGUGUGCCUGCUACCAGCCUACGGAGGUGCACUGCACCUUCCGCUCCCUGCUCACGGUCCCAGCAGGCAUUCCCAAACAAGUGGAGCGUGUGAAUCUGGGGUUUAAUGCUAUAAACAGGAUCACAACUAGUUCUCUCACAGCGUUAAGAAAGCUGGAAGUUCUUCUGAUGCAUGGAAAUAACCUACACAAUAUCCCAG